CGCUAUCCGCCAACCGGUCCAGCCGUGACGCGGAAGGUUAUUUCCUCCCACCAACCCAUGCCUCUUCAAGAGAGGCGAAAGGUCAGCG
rnacentral:ncRNA from 1 species